UACGGGGGGAGCAAGCGUUGUUCGGAUUUACUGGGCGUAAAGGGCGCGUAGGCGGCGUGACAAGUCACUUGUGAAAUCUCCGGGCUUAACUCGGAACGGUCAAGUGAUACUGUCGUGCUAGAGUACAGAAGGGGCAACUGGAAUUCUCGGUGUAGCGGUGAAAUGCGUAGAUAUUGGGAGGAACACCAGUGGCGAAGGCGGCUCACUGGACCGGUACUGACGCUGAUGCGCGAAAGCGUGGGGAGCAAACGGG
rnacentral:rRNA from 1 species